UACGAAGGGGGCUAGCGUUACUCGGAAUUACUGGGCGUAAAGGGCGCGUAGGCGGCGCUCCAAGUUAGGCGUGAAAGUCCUGGGCCUCACGAUGGACUGCGCUUAAGACUGGAGUGCUUGAGGAUGGAAGAGGGUCGUGGAAUUCCCAGUGUAGAGGUGAAAUUCGUAGAUAUUGGGAAGAACACCGGUGGCGAAGGCGGCGACCUGGUCCAUUACUGACGCUGAGGCGCGAUAGCGUGGGGAGCAAACAGG
rnacentral:rRNA from 1 species